CUGGCUCUACCUUUCCUAGACCCCAUUUAAGGGCUGACUGCCACUGGGUAAGGGUGUCUUUCUGGAGAUCCUUCCUCUGUGGAGUCUUUCCUGUGAAUCUGGAUUUCAGAUACAGGUAAAGAACCACCAUCCUGUCUCACAAUACAUACUGGACUUUAUCAUUUUACUUUCGAUUAGAAAGCCCCUGUAAGAAAAGGUGAAAGCUACAGAUAUUUACUAAAGGUUAAGAAGCAGAAAAAGGGGGGACGACUAACUAAUGAGUGGAAGAAGGAAAGGCAUCCAUGGUAUUCACUUGAGCGAUGUGAAUUUAAUUCCUACAGAAGAAGUUUCAAACCAGCAGAAGAUGGAGCUGCUAGAAACUUUCUACUUUUGGAGGUAGAAAAGGUGAUCAAAUGUGCCACAUCAAUCCACAUCACACAUAGCAGAUACAGCAAAUGAACAAGCAUCAUUUAUUCACCAGCAGCCAAGGGUAAACCAGAGAUUCAGGGAACCCUAAUCACUCUCUUACCAACCUAUGCCCUUGCUGAGCCUAUCAUAAACUGGAUAAACAGUUAAAUAUAGUCCAUCAUCCUUUAUUCAUAAUUUUGAAAACUAAUUAUCUUACUUUGUUUUGUCUUCUAGGAAAGUAUAUCUCAGAUUAAGAUGUAGAUAGCUGAUGUGGGUUUGAUAACUUUACCAGCCUGGAAGUUAAAGGUGAUUUAAUAAGGAGGAAAAAAGGUAGGGGAAAGGAGAGAAAAAUAAGCCUUUUAAAAAAUAUUCAUAACUUCAAUCAUAUUAAUUCUACUCCCUAUACCAUGAUGGGAAUGUAAAAAUUACAGGAAGGUAUUUCCAGUCAGGUACGUGAGAGAAAUAGAUAUUUUGUUGUUGUUUUAAAUAAAAAGCAAUAAAUCUAAAGGUCUUCAGGGAUAAUUAUCACUCACCAAGUAAAAUAUAAAUUAAAAAAAAAAAGAUUUUCUGUAACGUUGCAUAUUCUGUGAAAACAAAAAGCCCUAUAUAUAUUGAUUUCCCUUCUUUGCCCCUGUACAUGUGGCACAGAUUGCAAAACUACCUUUUCACUAACAUGUUUAAGGUGCUCAGGACUAUUCUCAGGCACUGAGGCUAUCUUGGCAUUAAAUACUUUUCUUCUGUAGUCCCUUAGUGUUCUAAGAGGAGUGACUGCAUCCACAUUGCUUUUGGAAGCAGCCCCUGGCCAUAUAAAUACUUGAAUGGCACCUGAGAACAGUUUGAAAGUUUGUGGGUCAUAACUAUGGCAAAACUGUUUCAACAAUUUAUGAACAAGACAAUCAAGCUCCAGUGUCCAGAACACAUCAGUGUUUGAUUUCUUCUUGUUUAUGCAGCCUACCUUCUAAACAGCUGUUUUUACAAAUAUGCCUUUAAUUCCCAAGAUGUCUUGUUCAACAAUUUAACAAAUAAACUGAGGAAUACCUUAAAAAAAUAAA